rnacentral:rRNA from 1 species
CCUACGGGAGGCAGCAGUAGGGAAUCUUCCACAAUGGGCGAAAGCCUGAUGGAGCAACGCCGCGUGGGUGAAGAAGGUCUUCGGAUCGUAAAACCCUGUUGUUAGAGAAGUAAGUGCGUGAGAGUAACUGUUCACGUUUCGACGGUAUCUAACCAGAAAGCCACGGCUAACUACGUGCCAGCAGCCGCGGUAAUACGUAGGUGGCAAGCGUUAUCCGGAUUUAUUGGGCGUAAAGGGAACGCAGGCGGUCUGUUAAGUCUGAUGUGAAAGCCUUCGGCUUAACCGGAGUAGUGCAUUGGAGACUGGGAGACUUGAGUGCAGAAGAGGAGAGUGGAACUCGAGGUGUAGCGGUGAAAUGCUUAGAUAUAUGGAAGAACACCGAUGGCGAAAGCGGCUCUCUGAUCUGUAACUGACGCUGAGGUUCGAAAGCGUGGGUAGCAAACAGGAUUAGAUACCCUAGUAGUC